UACGGAGGGUGCAAGCGUUAUCCGGAUUCACUGGGUUUAAAGGGUGCGUAGGUGGGAAUGUAAGUCAGUGGUGAAAUCUCCGUGCUUAACAUGGAAACUGCCAUUGAUACUAUGUUUCUUGAAUUUUCUGGAGGUCAGCGGAAUAUGUCAUGUAGCGGUGAAAUGCUUAGAGAUUACAUGGAAUACCAAUUGCGAAGGCAGGUUGCUACCAAUUGAUUGACGCUGAUGGACGAAAGCGUGGGUAGCGAACAGG
rnacentral:rRNA from 1 species